ensembl:lncRNA
GGCGUGUGCGGUUCUUGUCUGCAAUCCCUUCUGCACACGGAGUGACUGCCUGAGGAAGAAGCCCUCUCCUGCCCUACGUCCCCCAUGGCUCAGCACUGCCCACCCAAGGCUGGAAGAAGUUGGUCAUACGGAGUUCCCUUGGCGCCUUCUGCCCUCUUAAGGUCUUCAAUGCCUGCUAAGAUACUCAGCAAUGGAAAUGAUGCUGAUGCUCCUCUCCUGCCAAAAGAUAAUCCCCUCCACGUUCACAUUUAGAGUACACUGAGGCAGCUCUGGUGCUCCUCUAACCACACCAACAUUUUUUUCA